rnacentral:rRNA from 1 species
AACGAACGCUGGCGGCAUGCCUAACACAUGCAAGUCGAACGAGACCUUCGGGUCUAGUGGCGCACGGGUGCGUAACGCGUGGGAAUCUGCCCUUGGGUUCGGAAUAACAGUUGGAAACGACUGCUAAUACCGGAUGAUGACGUAAGUCCAAAGAUUUAUCGCCCAAGGAUGAGCCCGCGUAGGAUUAGCUAGUUGGUGAGGUAAAGGCUCACCAAGGCGACGAUCCUUAGCUGGUCUGAGAGGAUGGUCAGCCACACUGGGACUGAGACACGGCCCAGACUCCUACGGGAGGCAGCAGUGGGGAAUAUUGGACAAUGGGCGAAAGCCUGAUCCAGCAAUGCCGCGUGAGUGAUGAAGGCCUUAGGGUUGUAAAGCUCUUUUACCCGGGAUGAUAAUGACAGUACCGGGAGAAUAAGCUCCGGCUAACUCCGUG